CUUUGUCCUAUUUAUAAAGAAGUGAUUUCACAGGUAAAUAUUAAUUGCCAAAUUAUUACCAAGUUUAGAUCAAUAGAGCCUGAAUUAAUGAGGCUUUGUUUUACUCACUAUAAGUAAAAUGAGAUCGGUUUUCUAUAAUACGAAAGCAUGCUCUAUUAGUCAGCUUUUCCCUUGCUAAGACACAAUACCUGGACACCCACAACUUAAAGGAGGAGAGGUUGGAUUUGGCUUACAGCUUCAGAAGAUUCAGUCCAUAGUCAUCUAGCUCCAAGGCGGGAACAUCAAGAGCAUGGCGGGGGGGAAAAGCUGCCUAAUCCAUGGUAGUUAGGAAGCAGAGCAAGGAAACGGUGCCAGAGAGGAAGGGGCCACAGACCAUAGCAAGUAGUCAAGACCACACCUUUAUGACACACCCGGACACACCCAAAAGUGCGCUUUGCCAAUAUGUUAGGCAUUUUUUUUUUUAUCUAAUCAAAUUGGCAUAUCAGGAUUAGUGCUCAUACACCCUACUUAUAAAGUGAGGUUCAUUUAGCCCACAGCUUUGUCUGCUGAAAGUUCCCAUCAACAUGACCCAGACUCUAGUGAGGGUCCUCCUUGGCUGCACUGACUCAUGGCUGACCACCAUUGUGCAAGUGAGUGUGAGAAGAGCAAUCACACCUUCACAAAGCCGGAGAGACAAUGAGUGGGGUCAAACUGGGGCUCUUAUAACGGCCCUCUUGCAAGAACUAACCGGAGUCUUCUCGGAGAAAUGCCUGUAUCCCUUCUGAGGACAGCUCUCCCCACCCUCCAGUUAACUGCGACCUAAGCCCUUUUCUCUAUAGCUUUAUCUCCUAGAGAUCUCAUCUCCUAACAUUGUUAUCUUGAGGACCAAGCUUCUAACACACAGGCCCUUGGGGGACAAACCACAUCCAAGCCACAGUAAUACCUCUGGUUGGAAGGUCAAGGGUCACCAUUGCAUUUUGUUGUCAUUGCAUCAGGGUUCUGAGGCCUGUGUCCAUCAUGUGAAGCCAUUGUGAGAGGCUAUGGGGGAAUCAUGGUUGCUGUGCGUGUUGCCUCCCCUGUGACCAUCACCUAGCUAAUGGCAGAAGUGUGGGAUACAGAAGACACAAAGGACAAAACUAAAACGUGUCUGCCCUAGAACCCAAGCCAUCCAGGAUUACGAGGUGUAAUUGAAAAAUAUGAGAAUAUGUUCAAGACCCUCAGUGGAGGCCUGAAGUUUCUGGAGGCACCAACAUUUUCUAGAUACAGGAGGCACUUUACGGCUUCUCUUCAGAGUAUCUGAGUUGCCAGCAUUACGGCUCUUGUGCUUUGGGAUCAGGAUCAAGUAAAACAAAGGUUACAUGAACACAAGCACUGUGGGACCAAGACAGUCAUCCUGAAAGCCUGAGUCUCAACUGGUUAUUUUAAAGCCACAAGACCACCUGUGAUUGGUGACUACUGGACCCUGAGCAAGUUCUUGUGCUAUGCUUGUCCAGAAAAGACUCUGGACAAAGAGCCAUUGUAGCACCCCAUUAUCAGGACCCCUCCAAACUGGGAACUUUCUCCUUAUGCAUCCAGUAAAUACUCUUCUUAACUGCCUUCUUUUCUGUGAUUUCAUCCUUUGACUUUGUGAGACAGCAGCCUGGUUUUGCAUGGUAUCAUCUUCUUUUAAAAAUUACCAGCCCAUCACAGGAGAAAAACUACAUUUCUCCCAAUAAAGAUUGUGUCAGCCAGGAUCAAGCUUUGGAGAACCUCAAACCGUCAUGAUAUGUUUUUGUGCCUACCAAGAAACAAUUUUCAUCUUGUUGGGGACAAUAUUGCCUUCACUGGGAUGAGAAGAUACGACAAGCUAAUGAUACAUAUGCCGACAGAGACCUGCACCUGGGCUUUGAUUUCAUCUUCAACUCUUUAUCUGAAAAUUGUAGAGGUUGGAUUCCUUCCAUUCCUGGAAUUCUGUUUCUAUGCUAGGCACUGCCUUCGGUGAAUUUAUAAUCCAAUUAAAGCAGGGACAUUUAACAAAUGAAAUCUAUGCCGGACAGUAUUCAAAGCUUGAUCGCAAAAGACUAACACUGUGUUGACACUAACUUCUUCAUUUGCAUUAGUUUUGCUAGUUUUCCUUAAAGCAUGAGCAUCUUGGUCUUUCUAAUAGAAAGUAGUUGAAGAAUAAAGCCAAUGCCAGCCUCUAGAAGAGAUUUUUUUGGCAAUGGGAAUGCAUUCCAAAAUAGGAAACCACUUGUUUUCCAGGUGGUUCUACUGAAACUACUGUAGGUAAAGGGCCUACUGUACUGGGGCCUGGAAGGUGGAAACUACCAUUGAGCCACAGUGAUCUGUCCCUUUUCAUGUGUGCUCAGGAUCUCAGAGGUCUUCUAUGCUGGUAGAGUUUUGCUUCCCUACUGAAUGUGAGUUAUGCUGGCCAUGUUCUGGCCCCUGAUUCCUUCCCAGCUUUCCCAUAAUAAUUAGUACAUAUUCCUAUUGUUUGUUUCCCAUCUGGCCCACUGCCUAGACUAUAAACCAUCAGUGCAAGGACCACAGCCACUUCAUUUCCCAUUUACUUGAAACUGACCAAACACACAGGGGAUUUCCUGACACAUGCACUAUACACUGACACUUUGAAUUUCUCCUUUUUCCUCAACUUUCGCUGACUCCCAUCCCACAAAGCUCUGCUCAGCCCUUUCUCUCGAGGCCUCCUUGAUAAUGUUUGGAGCAGCGGUUGCCCUAGCAUGUCCCCAGCUAGAUGAUAAAGCCCUUGAACACAGACAGGGUCACGUGUGAUGUCAGUGUGAAACAGUCCCUCACAGUGGCUGUGCUAGGUAGGAGGCCAGUGACUACAAUCAUCAAACAUGUGGCCAAAAUUGGCUUAAAAAAUAAGGAAGUUUUUAAGCUCACCUUUGGGGAUUUAGAGGCAAGGCAGGUUCCUGGGUUGGUUGAUCCUGAAGCUCAAUGAUGUGGCAACACCCUCAUCCCCUCCUCUCUCUGCUCUGCCAUCCACCACGCCCUGGGUCUGGCUGGCUGCUGACGGCCAUGGCUCUCUGUGACUCUCAUUCAGAUCGAGCAGAAAGGGGAGAAGGAUGACUUCCUGUUGUUCUUGUGAGCGAAAACACUUUCCAGAAGCUUCCAAUAAAUUUCUUCAGUUUC